GAAGUGACAUGAGCUCACCUACUAGGCAGUUGUCCAUCUACAGGGCAUCUUCGUGCAAACUGAAAAGGAUGCCCUUUCUUCCAAAUGGCUGCAACCUUGAAGCAAAGCACACAGCUCAGUGAGUGGAGCAGGGCUGGAUUUCAUCCCUUGCUCAGCUGGGUGCUCCAGGGAGGAGAUUAUUACAGUAGAGUAGGCAUCUUCUGUUUCUCAAGGAUUCUGAGAAACAAAUACUUCUGUUAGUCUUACAAGAUACAGGGACAAAAAUUGAGGUUCAGGGCCGUUUAAGGAAGAGAGGUGGAAAAAGUGCUGAUAAAUAGCCCAGGCUUUCAGUUGGGAUGCUCAAAGAGCUAUUCCUGGGAGUACAGCCUCACAAAUACUGAAACCCAGACUCUAAUCUCCCCAAUAUCUGCAUGGAUUAAGGUGGAAUAUGCGUUUCAAGUAUCCCCUGGAAUUACAUGAGGCUUGGUCCCUUGUUAAAGGAAAGCAGGUUACGAAGAUAUGGGGUUGGAGACAGGAUGCCUUCUCAGUAGCCAUGAAGUUGACCCUUGCUUGACUCAUAAAGAAAACUGGACCUGAGACUGCUUCUUAAUCUCAAAGCCCUUGGGCUUCAUUCCCUGUUUGUCUGCUCAGAUGUCCCCUCUUACACCAAAUUUCUACCAAGCUACCUGUUCCUUGGAGAUUCUGCUCGGAGGCCUGGGUCUCUCACCACAGAUGUCAAUAUGUGUUGGGCUGGUAGCCACCUCUCCUGGGUUCUGCCGCUAAACGUACUCCAGGUGGCCCAGCCUUCUCAAAUAUCACAGUUGACAAAGAAGUGGAUGUCUCUAGAGUGCAUCUAGGACCAUCUUUCAGCAUCCUAUUGUUGGAAAUGAAGUUGGGGACACCUGCUGAGACACAAAAGCAGCUGAAGUCUACCCAACCAUGGAUCGUGGCAGCUCAUGCUCACAAGGGCAUUUGGGGUAGGAAUUGAGGCUCCAUUCCGUGCAUUGGGAAGGAUUCAGGUAGAGGCCCCUCACACAUGGACCUACAGGAGAAGGAUAAGAGGAGCUCCAUUUUGCCUUCAAGGCUCAAGUCUACCUGGUGGACGCCACUCUCCAAUGGGUGAUUUAAUUAAAGGGAUCACACACACCAUUUUGGUGAGGGAGAUGUGCUCUCUCCAGCAAAGAGGCAACAGAACUUCUCUGGUGCAAGGGCCGGGUCAUAUCCACCCAUACUCCUACUCAAUUACAAGAACAAACACAAUGAUCGUGCUGCCAGCAGUCAUAAUAAUAAAUAGCAAACCUGUAGUGCUAACUCUGUGCCCAACCCUUCUGAAGCGCUCUACACAGAUUAUCUCAUUUAAUCUCUAAAAUAGCCAUACGAAAGAUAUGUUAUUAUUUUCACAUUACAGAUAAAGCUCUCGAGCCUUAGAGAGGUUAAGCAGCUUGCCCACAGUCACACAGCUAGUAAGUGACAAAGCCAGGAUUCCAACCCAAGUAAUCUCUCUCCAGAGCCCAUGCCCUUGGACCAUACACUAUAC
rnacentral:lncRNA from 1 species